CCCUUAGAUGUCCUGGGCCGCACGCGUGCUACACUGACACUUGCAACGAGUACUUUGCUUUACCGAAAGGUAAUGAUAAUCAUCAAUAAGUGUCGUGAUGGGGAUAGAUCUUUGGAAUUAUGGAUCUUGAACGAGGAAUGCCUAGUAAGCGUAGGUCAUUAGCCUACGCUGAUUAAGUCCCUGCCCUUUGUACACACCGCCCGUCGCUCCUACCGAUUUCGAGUGGUCCGGUGAAACUUUUGGACCGUGCGACUUUAUUGUUGUCACGGAAAGUCAGUUAAACCAUACUACUUAGAGGAAGGAGAAGUCGUAACA
rnacentral:rRNA from 1 species